rnacentral:rRNA from 1 species
UACGAAGGGGGCUAGCGUUGUUCGGAAUCACUGGGCGUAAAGCGCAUGCAGGCGGAUCGAUAAGUCGGGGGUGAAAUCCCGAGGCUCAACCUCGGAACUGCCUUCGAUACUGCCGAUCUGGAGUCCGGAAGAGGAGAGUGGAAUUCCUGGUGUAGCGGUGAAAUGCGCAGAUAUCAGGAAGAACACCCGUGGCGAAGGCGGCUCUCUGGGACGGUACUGACGCUGAGACGCGAAAGCGUGGGGAGCGAACAGG